rnacentral:rRNA from 1 species
AGUAAUGCAAGUCGAGCGAACAGAAGGGAGCUUGCUCCCGGAUGUUAGCGGCGGACGGGUGAGUAACACGUGGGUAACCUGCCUGUAAGACUGGGAUAACUCCGGGAAACCGGAGCUAAUACCGGAUAGUUCCUUGAACCGCAUGGUUCAAGGAUGAAAGACGGUUUCGGCUGUCACUUACAGAUGGACCCGCGGCGCAUUAGCUAGUUGGUGGGGUAAUGGCUCACCAAGGCGACGAUGCGUAGCCGACCUGAGAGGGUGAUCGGCCACACUGGGACUGAGACACGGCCCAGACUCCUACGGGAGGCAGCAGUAGGGAAUCUUCCGCAAUGGACGAAAGUCUGACGGAGCAACGCCGCGUGAGUGAUGAAGGUUUUCGGAUCGUAAAGCUCUGUUGUUAGGGAAGAACAAGUGCGAGAGUAACUGCUCGCACCUUGACGGUACCUAACCAGAAAGCCACGGCUAACUACGUGCCAGCAGCCGCGGUAAUACGUAGGUGGCAAGCGUUGUCCGGAAUUAUUGGGCGUAAAGGGCUCGCAGGCGGUUUCUUAAGUCUGAUGUGAAAGCCCCCGGCUCAACCGGGGAGGGUCAUUGGAAACUGGGAAACUUGAGUGCAGAAGAGGAGAGUGGAAUUCCACGUGUAGCGGUGAAAUGCGUAGAGAUGUGGAGGAACACCAGUGGCGAAGGCGACUCUCUGGUCUGUAACUGACGCUGAGGAGCGAAAGCGUGGGGAGCGAACAGGAUUAGAUACCCUGGUAGUCCACGCCGUAAACGAUGAGUGCUAAGUGGUUAGGGGGUUUCCGCCCCUUAGUGCUGCAGCUAACGCAUUAAGCACUCCGCCUGGGGGAGUACGGUCGCAAGACUGAAACUCAAAGGAAUUGACGGGGGCCGCACAAGCGGUGGAACAUGUGGUUUAAUUCGAAG